UGGGCGCAGCCUGAUGCAGCCAUGCCGCGUGUGUGAAGAAGGCCUUCGGGUUGUAAAGCACUUUCAGUCGUGAGGAAGGUGGUGUAGUUAAUAGCUGCAUUAUUUGACGUUAGCGACAGAAGAAGCACCGGCUAACUCCGUGCCAGCAGCCGCGGUAAUACGGAGGGUGCGAGCGUUAAUCGGAAUUACUGGGCGUAAAGCGCAUGCAGGUGGUUAGUUAAGUCAGAUGUGAAAGCCCGGGGCUCAACCUCGGAACUGCAUUUGAAACUGGCUGACUAGAGUACUGUAGAGGGGGGUAGAAUUUCAGGUGUAGCGGUGAAAUGCGUAGAGAUCUGAAGGAAUACCGGUGGCGAAGGCGGCCCCCUGGACAGAUACUGACACUCAGAUGCGAAAGCGUGGGGAGCAAACAGGAUUAGAUACCCUGGUAGUCCACGCCGUAAACGAUGUCUACUUGGAGGUUGUGGCCUUGAGCCGUGGCUUUCGGAGCUAACGCGUUAAGUAGACCGCCUGGGGAGUACGGUCGCAAGAUUAAAACUCAAAUGAAUUGACGGGGGCCCGCACAAGCGGUGGAGCAUGUGGUUUAAUUCGAUGCAACGCGAAGAACCUUACCUACUCUUGACAUCCAGAGAACUUAGCAGAGAUGCUUUGGUGCCUUCGGGAACUCUGAGACAGGUGCUGCAUGGCUGUCGUCAGCUCGUGUUGUGAAAUGUUGGGUUAAGUCCCGCAACGAGCGCAACCCUUAUCCUUGUUUGCCAGCGAGUAAUGUCGGGAACUCCAGGGAGACUGCCGGUGAUAAACCGGAGGAAGGUGGGGGACGACGUCAAGUCAUCAUGGCCCUUA
rnacentral:rRNA from 1 species